UCAACUUUGAUCUUGAAAAUUGCCUUCUCCAAAUCUUUACCACAUAAAAAUGUUCUAGAAAUCCAAGUCUUUUUUAAAAGUAAUGGGAUUUUAAAGAUUUUAUAGUUAGAGGUACCGUUGUAUUGGGUCUGUUUUGUCGGUUUAGUGUGUUUUUGUAGCAGUUUUACUUGGUUUUCCCUAAACUCUUCGUUGGGAUAAGUAGGACUUAGAUUUCAUCAUCUACAUCUAGAAGGGCUUACCAUGAAGUAGAAGAGGAUCGACACACAUUCUCAGACUCCUGCCACGGUAAAUUUCACCAACCAGCCACCAUUGAACCACCAGUAGUUUCAAACACCAGUAACAAAUCACCGUCAGCAACUACCAACAAUUCUCAGGCUGUUACAGAACUUCCGUCGACAAAAUUCACAAGUAAGACCUAGUAUGUUCGAUUGAUUUCUAUCAAAGUAUUUACGAUUGAUUAACGUAAACUUUAAGGAACAUAGACUUCAAGGAACUUCAAGAAAAACUUUUUUUAUUGUGUAUCUCUUAUUUAAAACUUUCGUAACCAAUGAAAACUCUUAUAACAAUGUAAAACUUUUUUAGCUCUCGUAACACUGUUAGGUUCAACCUUUUCAGUUUCACCCUCUAAAUAAAAUACUGCUAUUGUUUUUUUUCAA